GUUCCAGACUCCUACGGGAGGCAGCAGUGGGGAAUAUUGCACAAUGGGGGAAACCCUGAUGCAGCGACGCCGCGUGAGUGAAGAAGUAAUUCGUUAUGUAAAACUCUAUCAGCAGGGAAGAAAAUGACGGUACCUGAGUAAGAAGCCCCGGCUAACUACGUGCCAGCAGCCGCGGUAAUACGUAGGGGGCAAGCGUUAUCCGGAUUUACUGGGUGGAAAGGGAGCGUAGACGGCAGUGCAAGUCUGGAGUGAAAGGCGGGGGCGCAACCCCCGGACUGCUCUGGAAACUGUAGUUCUUGAGUGUUGGAGAGGCAGGCGGAAUUCCGUGUGUAGCGGUGAAAUGCGUAGAUAUACGGAGGAACACCAGUGGCGAAGGCGGCCUGCUGGACAAUAACUGACGCUGAGGCGCGAAAGCGUGGGGAGCAAACAGGAUUAGAUACCCGCGUAAA
rnacentral:rRNA from 1 species